rnacentral:piRNA from 1 species
UCAAUAAAAAGUGAGCACUGC